GUGGGGAAUAUUGCACAAUGGAGGAAACUCUGAUGCAGCGACGCCGCGUGAGGGAAGAAGGUUUUCGGAUUGUAAACCUCUGUCUUCGGGGACGAUAAUGACGGUACCCGAGGAGGAAGCCACGGCUAACUACGUGCCAGCAGCCGCGGUAAUACGUAGGUGGCAAGCGUUGUCCGGAUUUACUGGGUGUAAAGGGAGCGCAGGUGGAAACGCAAGUAGGAUGUCUAAUCUACGGGCUCAACCCGUAACCGCAUUCUAAACUGUGUUUCUUGAGUGGAGUAGAGGCAGGCGGAAUUCCCGGUGUAGCGGUGGAAUGCGUAGAUAUCGGGAGGAACACCAGUGGCGAAGGCGGCCUGCUGGGCUCUAACUGACACUGAGGCUCGAAAGCGUGGGUAGCAAACAGGA
rnacentral:rRNA from 1 species